CUCGAUGAGUAGGGCGGGACACGUGGUAUCCUGUCUGAAUAUGGGGGGACCAUCCUCCAAGGCUAAAUACUCCUGACUGACCGAUAGUGAACCAGUACCGUGAGGGAAAGGCGAAAAGAACCCCGGCGAGGGGAGUGAAAAAGAACCUGAAACCGUGUACGUACAAGCAGUGGGAGCACGCUUAGGCGUGUGACUGCGUACCUUUUGUAUAAUGGGUCAGCGACUUAUAUUCUGUAGCAAGGUUAACCGAAUAGGGGAGCCGAAGGGAAACCGAGUCUUAACUGGGCGUUAAGUUGCAGGGUAUAGACCCGAAACCCGGUGAUCUAGCCAUGGGCAGGUUGAAGGUUGGGUAACACUAACUGGAGGACCGAACCGACUAAUGUUGAAAAAUUAGCGGAUGACUUGUGGCUGGGGGUGAAAGGCCAAUCAAACCGGGAGAUAGCUGGUUCUCCCCGAAAGCUAUUUAGGUAGCGCCUCGUGAAUUCAUCUCCGGGGGUAGAGCACUGUUUCGGCAAGGGGGUCAUCCCGACUUACCAACCCGAUGCAAACUGCGAAUACCGGAGAAUGUUAUCACGGGAGACACACGGCGGGUGCUAACGUCCGUCGUGAAGAGGGAAACAACCCAGACCGCCAGCUAAGGUCCCAAAGUCAUGGUUAAGUGGGAAACGAUGUGGGAAGGCCCAGACAGCCAGGAUGUUGGCUUAGAAGCAGCCAUCAUUUAAAGAAAGCGUAAUAGCUCACUGGUCGAGUCGGCCUGCGCGGAAGAUGUAACGGGGCUAAACCAUGCACCGAAGCUGCGGCAGCGACGCUGAUGCGUUGUUGGGUAGGGGAGCGUUCUGUAAGCCUGUGAAGGUGUGCUGUGAGGCAUGCUGGAGGUAUCAGAAGUGCGAAUGCUGACAUAAGUAACGAUAAAGCGGGUGAAAAGCCCGCUCGCCGGAAGACCAAGGGUUCCUGUCCAACGUUAAUCGGGGCAGGGUGAGUCGACCCCUAAGGCGAGGCCGAAAGGCGUAGUCGAUGGGAAACAGGUUAAUAUUCCUGUACUUGGUGUUACUGCGAAGGGGGGACGGAGAAGGCUAUGUUGGCCGGGCGACGGUUGUCCCGGUUUAAG
rnacentral:rRNA from 1 species